GUUGGGAUAGCUCAGUCAGUAAAGCAUUAGACUUUUAAUCUCUGGGUCAUGGGCUUGAGCCCCACACUAGGCA